rnacentral:misc_RNA from 1 species
GCGUGGAUCUCAAACGUCUACAGUCACGCCUCCAAUUUAUGGAUCCCCGCCCCCCUCCUUGAACGUGCCAAAUGAGCCUCAAGACACUCCAUAGCACUCAACUCCGAAAUUUAAUUCAGAAGUUCUUCCGCAUACAUUCGAUACCUCUUGAGAGUUUUACAUAUGGCACGUGGUAUUUGUUCCGAUUGAUUGAGCUGCUGGUUUGAAGGAUAUUCAAAAAUUCGUCUUGGAUGACGAAAUUAGCGUUGAAAAAUAAUGUCUCAAAUUAUCUGUUGACGAAACGGAAUGUAAAUAUUUAUUUAUUUUGUAUUGUGUCAUGUUAUCAACGUCUAUUGUAGCCAAAAUAGUCUACAAGCAUAAUUUCCAUGGCGAGUUUUACGGUAUAUGAUAAUGACACGCCAUCCGAGUGCUCCAUGGUCUGUGAUAGUUAACUGUAAUGGAUCGGAAUACAUUACAGUAUCCCUUCAGUAUUAUUUAAGUUUAUCUAUUUUGUUUAUGAUGCUCAUUGUUCCUUAUUUGUAAUCAUGUAUUAUGUGUUAUGUACAGUACUUCUGUUUUGUCUCUUGAGUUGAGUAUCCAAUAUGCCUCAUUCAAAUACUACGCAAAGAAUAUGGCAAUGGGACUCGGAGCUUCAAAUGCAAUGUUUUGUUAUAUGACAUCACUAUGUAAAGCAAUAAAUAUUAUUUUUC